AUCGGGUUUUUUGUAAAUUAAAAGGUACAUUCACAGAAAUGCAAAGGCACUCAUCUGAGUCUGGUUUGGAAAGUUAUCCAUAAUAAAACCAUUAAAAUACAGAGCAACACAAGUUAAUGGUUACUUGUGAGCUUGUGUACUUCAUUAUUUUCUUUUAUUACAUUAAGUAGGGAAGCAUCUUGUGUAAGCUUUUCCUAAAGACAUAAAGAGACCUUUCAAUUGAAUUUAUUGCUUGGCAAGUUCCUGGUUGUGGUGCUGUAAAAGCCUCACCAACUAAUACAUAUAAUAACUGGAGUUAGGCUUCAUAAUAGUAGAAAAAUAUUACUCUGCGGAAUUAAAAUGGAACUGCGGGUUCCAGUUGACUGUCAGAUACUUUUUCAAUCUAGGCAACAGAAUUCAAAUAACAGAUUACUGCACUAAUUUAUAAAUAGCCACAAAUCAUUUCCCCAGUGAACGAAAAGCCCAUUUACCCUGUGCAUUCUCUCUGCGUGUGCACAGUAUGCUUUAGGAAUGACUGAAUUAAGAUGACCUGCAGUGGCCAAUCAAGCAGGGAGAAAGAAAAUGAACUUCAAGUUGAUACUGAAGCAGCUAAAGCCCUUUCUUACACUUUCCACCAGCUAGGAAGCAAGCCAACUGUUCUGCAGGACCUCUAUUUUUUUAAUAUAAUCAAGCUCAAGCUUUUCAUUGUAUAGAAAACCAAAGUACUUACUCUUCUCCCUUUUACUAGACGCAGUACUUCAGAAGCUACAGAAGUAAUCUUCCUUUCGGUGCUGCAGAGGUGCCUUUGCAAGUGAGUGUAUGAGAUGCACAGAUGUGGGUGUAUCACAACAAAGUAACACUAUUUACACUGGAAUUGUGAUGUGGCAACACAACACAGGAAUUUGUGAGACCAAAACCUCAGGUCUGCAGUAUGAAAGCCGGAGCCUGUGGCAGGUAUCAACAAUGCUCCCGUGGAAAGGAAAAGGCUGUAUCUCUGUCCCAUCAAACUGUGGUGGAGAGCAGUGGACCAGGACUUGCCACUGGGCACAGAGAUGAUCCAGAGACAAGGGAGGACAUGAGGAGACCCUGGACAGGGACAAGGCUAGGAAAGGAGUGGAUUACGCUGCUUUACUGGAGGAUCAACACCACCUUUCAGCCUUUCCUCAGUUCAGAAGGGCACUGUAACACCCGUCUCCCAGCAGCAUCAGCAGCCAGAGGAGCCCCAAAACAGCUCUUCUCCUCCCAGCACCUGAUCUCAGUAUGUGGUCCAGACACAGGAUCCAGGAUUUUCCUCUUAUAUAAGGGAUGGCUUUACUUUACCCUGUUCCAGACAUCCAGAAGUUGCACUUCGGUUUCCUCUCAGGCACCAGGGAAGGGAAAUGUGCCUCCAAAGUGGGAGUCAGUCCAUCCCAGGAAGGUGCCAAGGAGCCAAUGAUGGACAUUAAAAUCCAGACAACAUAAA